GUUUGAUAUAUUUAUGCACACACACAUUUAUAUAUAAACGUACAAUGUUUGUGUCUGUAUGCAUAUUACACUGUGUGUAUGUGUAUUGUUUGUAUGUGUAUAUAUCACUGUAUGCAAAAUGUGUUUGUAUGUGGGUAUUUUACACUGUGUAUAUAUGUACUGUAUGUAUAUUACACUGUGUAUAUUUAAAAAAUGUGUGUGUGUGUGUGUAUGUUUAUAUUAUACUGUGGUGUGUGUGUGUGUAUAUAAUACGUGUGUUUGAGUGUAUAUAUGUAUAC